AGGAGAGCUUGCUCUCGCUGACGACCGCCGUACGGGUGCGUAACGCGUAUGUAACUUACCCCUAACAGGAGAAUAGCUUUCGGAAACGGAAAUUAAUACUCCAUAAUAUUCUUUCAUCACAUGGUGGUAGAAUUAAAGCUCCGGCGGUUAGGGAUAGGCAUGCGUCCUAUUAGUUAGUUGGUAAGGUAACGGCUUACCAAGGCAGCGAUAGGUAGGGGUUCUGAGAGGAUGGCCCCCCACACUGGUACUGAGACACGGACCAGACUCCUACGGGAGGCAGCAGUGAGGAAUAUUGGUCAAUGGACGCAAGUCUGAACCAGCCAUGCCGCGUGAAGGAUUGAAUGCCUUAUGGGUUGUAAACUUCUUUUAUAUGCCAAGAAACCCCCGCACGUGUGCGGGGCUGACGGUAGCAUAUGAAUAAGCACCGGCUAACUCCGUGCCAGCAGCCGCGGUAAUACGGAGGGUGCAAGCGUUAUCCGGAUUUAUUGGGUUUAAAGGGUACGUAGGCGGGUUAUUAAGUCAGUGGUGAAAGCCUGCAGCUCAACUGUAGAACUGCCAUAGAUACUGAUAACCUUGAGUGUAGUUGAAGUAGACGGAAUAUGACAUGUAGCGGUGAAAUGCAUAGAUAUGUCAUAGAACACCAAUAGUGAAAACAGUUUACUAAGCUAUUACUGACGCUGA
rnacentral:rRNA from 1 species